GUCAUUCAAACGCAGGCCGUGCCAUGGUGAAAAACCAUUGUGGCUUCUUAAUCAGAUGAAAUUUCAGGUUUUGCGUGAGUGUUUCUCAAGAGCUAUGGAUAUGAAUACUAUAUUCUGCGCGCUCUGUGGGAUCAUCCUAAUGGCAGCAACCAGCACCAACGGAGUAAACACGCAAGCAUGCAGGCCAACAGAAGUGUGGAAUCCUGACAUUGACGAGUGCAUUCCCUGCUCCUCUUGCCAGCAGUACCCCAAAACCCCAUCAUGUGAAAAAUGUACUCGCGUUCACCCGGGUCCGUCGGACGCCUGGCGCCUGGCGGCCAUCACCAGCCUCUCUGUGCUGGCCACUGUGCUGGUGUUCGGUGGGCUGGUCAUCGGUGUGCUGGUUCACAAGUGCAGGACGAAGAGAAGCACCCUGCGAGAGCCUAUUGAGGAGACCACAGGACCACUCUACCCUUUGUAGCUGCCCCAAGUUGUUUGAUUCUGCGUGUGAAGGAACCAAAGGGCUUGGGACCGGGAGCUCCGCAUCGGUGAACUGUUACUCCAGUCAAUCCCCCCCCCUGGCCACCGAGGCCAGGCCUCCGACCACAGAGUAUUCUUUGAGUAGUGAUAUUUGACUAUUCUAUUUAUUGUACUGGUAGCUGACAUGUAGAUGUGCUCAAGAGCUUUAAGUGACAAGACUAGUAUGGACUGAUCCUGGACCAGCCAAGCCAAGGACCUGCCAGACGGACCCCCCCCAGAAGGAGUGGGGCCUCAAGCCUCACUCGCCACCCAGCACUAGCCCUGAGGGGUGGGAGGGGGGUCGAGGGGGGGGGGGGGGGGGGGCAGAUGUGCCCUUCCGAGUGCAAUCAUCUCAUUGGAUUCUCCUGGAGCUAGAAAAUCCAUGUUGUUCCUAAUUUAUUUUUCUUUCCAGUCUAGUCUGUAAGCCCCCCCCCCCCCCCCCCCAAGACACACACAGAAUCACACUCUGUUUUUGCUCAGUGGUGUGGAGAGCUGUGAUUCCCUAUAGAUAAGUGCUCUUAAUAUCAGCCUGACCCUGCUCUAUGGUAUUUCAUAUACUGUUAGGCAUUUGAGACUACUUUAAAAACUAGCAGCCUUUUUCUCGCGACAACCUAUUUUGAAUCUAAGGGCUUUCUUAAACUUUUUAACCUGCAUUACCAACCCCAAACAACCUCUGGGACAUUCCCUGGUCUUUAGUCUGGCACAUGGCUUCUUGAAUGUACAAAGUUGAGCAAUAGCACAUAUUUUAUUGAGUUGUCUUUUGAUAGGUCAUAGUAUUAAUACGCUACUUCCAUGCUUUAACAGUAUGCACUUAACACGUUGUCAAGAGCGACCUCACAGUCUGGAUGUAUGCUAAAGUUUUGACACUGACGUGACGACUGCCUGUGGUGCCUUUUUUUUUUUUUUUGUUAAAUUCUGGAGAUUCUGACGCGCGUGCGUAGCAUCAGUGCCUCAAGGGACACGCAGAGGAAAAACAACAUCCCUCAACUCCCUUUUGCUUGCCACAGCUGCACGCACGCCGUGAAAUAGCCAAGAAUACUGGGAGGAAGAAGAAGAAGUUUAGUGAGGGUGCACAAGGGUGUUGGCGUGAAGGACAGUGAAGCAGCUCGCCGCAGAAAACGCAUCUUCUUGAGCCCGCAGACCGCCACAGUUCCUCAAUUCCCCCGUCCCUCUCCAGGGCAGGGGAUGUGGCUAUCUGUCACUGUCGGCACAAGGUAACGCCGUGUCGGGCUGUCAGGCCUCAGGGGCUUCCACAGUUCACAUGUCCUCCCCCCUCUCAAGUGCAAGUGCAUCAGACACAGAUUUGAAGGGCCUUCCUCAAAAGGCCAGCCUACCUCGGCAAGGGCCAGCUAUGCGCUGUCACUGAGUCUGCUGCAGUAAUCUAAACACGGCUAUUUGAGUCUUCCCAGCAGAGAUAAAUGGACCUGAGUCACAUAGUGCCUUAGUCAGGAGUCAGGCAGGUGUUGUUGGCAUGAACCACUGCCACUGGUGUGCAUCCUCUCGUUGCAGGGUCAUUCAGAUAAGCAUAUGUGUAAGCAAAUUAAAGCUAAAAAUGUAUUAUUUUUUCUUUGAACUGCUGGUCAGCUAGUCUGACAAUGACUUUAAAUGUCUCAGUUUGGUGCAGGAGAAAACAAAAAAAGCACACCCCAUUUUGCAACCGUCAGAAGCACACACCAUUAAGCUGGUGUGUCUGACGACACCACGACAAACACGACCGGGACGUUAGUGUAGUGGUAUGCAUGGUGGGUGAAGGGAGUGGGGGGUACAGCAUGAGGGAGAGGAUGGGCCAAGUUAUUGAAGCACAAAGCCCUAGUUUCACAUAGACUGCCAAGCGUGGCGAGAUGACUCACGUUACUGACAGAUGACUCGAUUUUUUUAUCAGUUUAGUAGCAGUACUGUUUGCAUAUUCUCCCAUUUUUAUAAGAACAUAAGCCACAGCUGUGCAGUGUCUGUAUUGUUACUAUACCGACCACAAGGAAACAAUCCCCAGAUGUCACAAUGUGAAGCAGAAGGGUAGGUUUACAUUAGGUCACCCUCUCCAAACCUAGACGGCUGUUACCAUGGCAUCAGUGUUUACCUAUGGUGGGUCUGUAGAACAUGUAUUUGUACACAUUAAAAAAGUUUAUAUGGAAAA